AUUCCAGCUCCAAUAGCGUAUAUUAAAGUUGUUGCAGUUAAAAAGCUCGUAGUUGGAUUUCUGGUUAGAUGCGCCUGGCCCGCCGACGUUCAGUCGUGUGAAGUGCUGGUGCGCAACUGCCAUCCUUCUAGAGAAGGGACCAACGGUUCAUUCCGGUUCGGUUCACAAUCUAGAUCUUUUACUUUGAAAAAAUUAGAGUGUUUAAAGCAGGCUUUUGCUAUGAAUACAUUAGCAUGGAAUAAUAAGAUAGGACUAUGGUACUAUUUUGUUGGUUUGUGCACCAUGGUAAUGAUUAAUAGGGACAGUUGGGGGUAUUCGUAUUUCAUUGUCAGAGGUGAAAUUCUUGGAUUUUUGAAAGACGAACUACUGCGAAAGCAUUUACCAAGGAUGUUUUCAUUA
rnacentral:rRNA from 1 species